rnacentral:rRNA from 1 species
GACGAACGCUGGCGGCGCGCCUAACACAUGCAAGUCGAACGGAGCUUAGAGAGCUUGCUUUUUAAGCUUAGUGGCGAACGGGUGAGUAACGCGUGAGUAACCUGCCCUAGAGUGGGGGACAACAGUUGGAAACGACUGCUAAUACCGCAUAAGCCCACGGUACCGCAUGGUACUGAGGGAAAAGGAUUUAUUCGCUUUAGGAUGGACUCGCGUCCAAUUAGCUAGUUGGUGAGGUAACGGCCCACCAAGGCGACGAUUGGUAGCCGGACUGAGAGGUUGAACGGCCACAUUGGGACUGAGACACGGCCCAGACUCCUACGGGAGGCAGCAGUGGGGGAUAUUGCACAAUGGGGGAAACCCUGAUGCAGCGACGCCGCGUGGAGGAAGAAGGUUUUCGGAUUGUAAACUCCUGUCGUUAGGGACGAUAAUGACGGUACCUAACAAGAAAGCACCGGCUAACUACGUGCCAGCAGCCGCGGUAAAACGUAGGGUGCAAGCGUUGUCCGGAAUUACUGGGUGUAAAGGGAGCGCAGGCGGGAAGACAAGUUGGAAGUGAAAACCAUGGGCUCAACCCAUGAAUUGCUUUCAAAACUGUUUUUCUUGAGUAGUGCAGAGGUAGAUGGAAUUCCCGGUGUAGCGGUGGAAUGCGUAGAUAUCGGGAGGAACACCAGUGGCGAAGGCGGUCUACUGGGCACCAACUGACGCUGAGGCUCGAAAGCAUGGGUAGCAAACAGGAUUAGAUACCCUGGUAGUCCAUGCCGUAAACGA